rnacentral:rRNA from 1 species
CCUACGGGAGGCAGCAGUGGGGAAUUUUGGACAAUGGGCGCAAGCCUGAUCCAGCAAUGCCGCGUGAGUGAAGAAGGCCUUCGGGUUGUAAAGCUCUUUUGUCAGGGAAGAAACGGUGGAGGUUAAUACCUUCUGCUAAUGACGGUACCUGAAGAAUAAGCACCGGCUAACUACGUGCCAGCAGCCGCGGUAAUACGUAGGGUGCAAGCGUUAAUCGGAAUUACUGGGCGUAAAGCGCGCGCAGGCGGUUGUGCAAGACAGAUGUGAAAUCCCCGGGCUCAACCUGGGAAUUGCAUUUGUGACUGUACGGCUAGAGUGUGUCAGAGGGGGGUAGAAUUCCACGUGUAGCAGUGAAAUGCGUAGAGAUGUGGAGGAAUACCGAUGGCGAAGGCAGCCCCCUGGGAUAACACUGACGCUCAUGCACGAAAGCGUGGGGAGCAAACAGGAUUAGAUACCCUGGUAGUCCACGCCCUAAACGAUGUCUACUAGUUGUCGGGUCUUUAUUGACUUGGUAACGCAGCUAACGCGUGAAGUAGACCGCCUGGGGAGUACGGUCGCAAGNUUAAAACGUCAAAUGAAAUUGACGG